rnacentral:tRNA from 1 species
GGAGAGAUGGCCGAGCGGUCCAAGGCGUAGCAUUGGAACUGCUAUGUAGGCUUUCGUUUACCGAGGGUUCGAAUCCCUCUCUCUCCUCUCUCCG